CAGGUGAAGUACGAGAUUUCACGCUCUUAUGAGAAAGUUGAUGAGACGCUAAAGCUUAUUCUUAAAGAGGUUUGCUGGCUUUGGUGGUUGUCCCUCCCAGCCAUUUCCAUCACUGUUCGCUGUUUGGGAGCAUUCUUUGUGAAAUUUCUCACAAGAGACAGGCUACAGCAUCUCUAGCUUCCUCGAUUGCGGAAUGGAGAGAACGUAUGCUGUUACUGUUGAAAAUAUUGAAUGUGCAUACUUUGAUCAAGUUGAAAAACUUUCUGGUUUUGGAUUACAUAACAGGGAAAGUAUUGCUCAACUGGUGUGGGCUUUCUUCAACUAUUGGGCUUAUUGCCACUAAGGUGAGUAUACGCUCUAUACCUUGGCACUGGUGUUAAUUUCUGAAAAUAUGACAAAUGUAAAUUCAUAGAAUAAUUUAUAAUAUAAUGCCAGAAGGAAUUAGCUUUAUAAAGCCAUUUAACUAACAUUGUCAAGGGGCGGUUUUCAUUGAAUAAGUAAUAAAUAGAAUUGUUUUGGUUUCCCCUUUGUUUCACUUUCAUCAAAUAAUGGUUUUUUUGUUUUGGAUAUUCAUUAUUAGGAUUUUUAAAUCUUAUUUCAUUAGGAUAGUUCAUAAUCAUCAUCACAAGCCUUAACCCCACAUUGGGUUUCUACAUGAAUCCUUGUUGUCCUUUCAUCUAUGC